rnacentral:rRNA from 1 species
UCUUGGUCAUUUAGAGGAAGUAAAAGUCGUAACAAGGUUUCCGUAGGUGAACCUGCGGAAGGAUCAUUAACGAGUUUUGAAACGAGUUGUAGCUGGCCUUCCGAGGCAUGUGCACGCUCUGCUCAUCCACUCUACCCCUGUGCACUUACUGUAGGUUGGCGUGGGCUCCUUAACGGGAGCAUUCUGCCGGCCUAUGUAUACUACAAACACUUUAAAGUAUCAGAAUGUAAACGCGUCUAACGCAUCUAUAAUACAACUUUUAGCAACGGAUCUCUUGGCUCUCGCAUCGAUGAAGAACGCAGCGAAAUGCGAUAAGUAAUGUGAAUUGCAGAAUUCAGUGAAUCAUCGAAUCUUUGAACGCACCUUGCGCUCCUUGGUAUUCCGAGGAGCAUGCCUGUUUGAGUGUCAUGGAAUUCUCAACUUAUAAAUCCUUGUGAUCUAUAAGCUUGGACUUGGAGGCUUGCUGGCCCUUGCGGUCGGCUCCUCUUGAAUGCAUUAGCUCGAUUCCGUACGGAUCGGCUCUCAGUGUGAUAAUUGUCUACGCUGUGACCGUGAAGUGUUUUGGCGAGCUUCUAACCGUCCAUUAGGACAACUUUUUAACAUCUGACCUCAAAUCAGGUAGGACUACCCGCUGAACUUAAGCAUAUCAAUAAGCGGAGGAA